AUUGAACGCUGGCGGCAGGCCUAACACAUGCAAGUCGAGCGAGCGGCGGACGGGUGAGUAAUGUCUGGGGAACUGCCUGAUGGAGGGGGAUAACUACUGGAAACGGUGGCUAAUACCGCAUACCAUCAGAUGAACCCAGAUGGGAUUAGCUAGUAGGUGGGGUAAAGGCUCACCAAGGCGACGAUCCCUAGCUGGUCUGAGAGGAUGAUCAGCCACACUGGAACUGAGACACGGCCCAGACUCCUACGGGAGGCAGCAGUGGGGAAUAUUGCACAAUGGGCGCAAGCCUGAUGCAGCCAUGCCGCGUGUAUGAAGAAGGCCUUCGGGUUGUAAAGUACUUUCAGCGGGGAGGCGUUACCCGCAGAAGAAGCACCGGCUAACUCCGUGCCAGCAGCCGCGGUAAUUC
rnacentral:rRNA from 1 species